GACGUAGGGGGCGAGCGUUGUCCGGAUUUAUUGGGCGUAAAGCGUGCGUAGGCGGCUGCGCAAGUCGGUUGUGAAACCCCGGGGCUCAACCCCGGAACUGCAUCCGAUACUGCGUGGCUAGAGGUAGGUAGGGGAGAUCGGAAUUCCUGGUGUAGCGGUGAAAUGCGCAGAUAUCGGGAAGAACACCCGUGGCGAAGGCGGCUUCUGGGACGGUACUGACGCUGAGGCGCGAAAGCAUGGGGAGCGAACAGG
rnacentral:rRNA from 1 species